AUGCUCAUAUAUUGCUCAAAAAUACGUUUUGAUCGUGAUCUGCUUGCAUCACAGAUGUAAUUGUGACGUAGUCAUUGUCGAUCUAAAUAUAAAUUUAAAGUCUUCUGUGAUAACGUACAUACAUCCAACAAUCAAUUAUAAUUUAGAGCUUUACUGUAUAUCCUUGGAUCUAUGCAAUGAUGAGUUUAAUGAUAUGGUGGUUAUUGUGGCUGUUAUUUGGUCAAGGAUUCACAAUGAAAAUGGGUUGGAAUGAAGAACUUGAGUUUUGUGAGGAAGAAUGGAAGAAAUUUGUGGCGGACAAAAUUGAAAUCGAUUCGAAAUGCAACAAUACUCGUACACGUUGUUGUGUUGAGGAGAAGAAAUAUCUUUGGAGCGAUUUAAAAUGUUUAGUGAAAUAUGUCCACUCGAAGGGACAUGUGGAUGCAGCCCGAUUAUUUUGAACUUUACUGUUUUGUCACACGUCGAUUAUCAUCAUUAUCCUCUUUUAC